AGAGUUGAUCAUGGCUCAGGAUGAACGCUAGCUACAGGCUUAACACAUGCAAGUCGAGGGGCAGCAUUGGGGUAGCAAUACUCAGAUGGCGACCGGCGCACGGGUGAGUAACACGUAUCCAACCUGCCGCUUACUCGGGGAUAGCCUUUCGAAAGAAAGAUUAAUACCCGAUGGUAUAAAGAGUUCGCAUGUUCUCUUUAUUAAAGAAUUCGGUAAGCGAUGGGGAUGCGUUCCAUUAGAUAGUUGGCGGGGUAACGGCCCACCAAGUCUACGAUGGAUAGGGGUUCUGAGAGGAAGGUCCCCCCACAUUGGAACUGAGACGCGGUCCAAACUCCUACGGGAGGCAGCAGUGAGGAAUAUUGGUCAAUGGACGAGAGUCUGAACCAGCCAAGUAGCGUGAAGGAUGACUGCCCUAUGGGUUGUAAACUGCUUUUGCAGGGGAAUAAAGUGCAUCACGUGUGAUGUUUUGUAUGUACUCUGCGAAUAAGGAUCGGCUAACUCCGUGCCAGCAGCGGC
rnacentral:rRNA from 1 species